UACGUAGGGAGCAAGCGUUGUCCGGAAUCAUUGGGCGUAAAGCGCGCGUAGGUGGCCACAUAAGUCCGUUGUGAAAGUCAAAGGCUCAACCUUUGAAAGCCGAUGGAUACUGUGUGGCUAGAGUACGGAAGAGGCGAGUGGAAUUCCUGGUGUAGCGGUGGAAUGCGCAGAUAUCAGGAGGAACACCAAUAGCGAAGGCAGCUCGCUGGGACGUUACUGACACUGAGGCGCGAAAGCGUGGGGAGCGAACAGGG
rnacentral:rRNA from 1 species